GAUGAACGCUGGCGGCGUGCCUAAUACAUGCAAGUCGAGCGAACGGACGAGAAGCUUGCUUCUCUGAUGUUAGCGGCGGACGGGUGAGUAACACGUGGAUAACCUACCUAUAAGACUGGGAUAACUUCGGGAAACCGGAGCUAAUACCGGAUAAUAUUUUGAACCGCAUGGUUCAAAAGUGAAAGACGGUCUUGCUGUCACUUAUAGAUGGAUCCGCGCUGCAUUAGCUAGUUGGUAAGGUAACGGCUUACCAAGGCAACGAUGCAUAGCCGACCUGAGAGGGUGAUCGGCCACACUGGAACUGAGACACGGUCCAGACUCCUACGGGAGGCAGCAGUAGGGCAUCUUCCGCAAUGGGCGAAAGCCUGACGGAGCAACGCCGCGUGAGUGAAGAAGGUCUUCGGAUCGUAAAACUCUGUUAUUAGGGAAGAACAUAUGUGUAAGUAACUGUGCACAUCUUGACGGUACCUAAUCAGAAAGCCACGGCUAACUACGUG
rnacentral:rRNA from 1 species